rnacentral:tRNA from 1 species
GGGAGUGUAGCUUAGUCUGGUUGGAGCACUCGACUGAUAAUCGAGAGGCCGCAGGUUCGAAUCCUGCCAUUCCCA